rnacentral:rRNA from 1 species
GUAGGUGGCAAGCGUUGUCCGGAAUUAUUGGGGCGUAAAGCGCGCGCAGGCGGUUCGUUUAAGUCUGAUGUGAAAGCCCACGGGCUCAACCGUGGAGGGUCAUUGGAAACUGGAGAACUUGAGUACAGAAGAGGAAAGCGGAAUUCCACGUGUAGCGGUGAAAUGCGUAGAGAUGUGGAGGAACACCAGUGGCGAAGGCGGCUUUCUGGUCUGUAACUGACGCUGAGGCGCGAAAGCGUGGGGAGCAAACAGGAUUAGAUACCCUGGUAGUCCACGCCGUAAACGAUGAGUGCUAAGUGUUAGGGGGGUUUCCGCCCCUUAGUGCUGCAGCUAACGCAUUAAGCACUCCGCCUGGGGAGUACGGCCGCAAAGGCUG